GAGCAACUUAGGAUUUUAGGCUCCACCGCCCCGCAGGCGGUGCAAACCCCGCAAGGCUGGCGGUCUUGCGUGCGGUCAAAAUCUAUCCGCCGGAG
rnacentral:ncRNA from 1 species